rnacentral:lncRNA from 1 species
CUUGAUUUUACGUGACAGCACUAUAGUGCGUUUAGUGACCUCCUCAUGCCUAGUGCGUCUGGACCACGUUCCAUGUUUUUGAAGGAGAGGACGUGAUGAGAAUGUACAGUAAUCCAUUUCAGACUCUGGCUUUUGUGGAUUUAGACAAGGCUCCCCUGGAGGAAGGAAUGCCAGGGCAAGAAUCAACCAGAUUGAGAUCUUUGUGCCUGGCAGUCUGACAUCACUUGUAAACUCUGCCAAAAUUCCUUUGGAAGCAGAUGUUCCUAGAGGGGGAAUGGUCAGAAUACAAACUAGCGUCUCCGCCUCUCAGAACAAGCAUCACUUCCACGUGGAUGGCCUCCUCAGCCUCCCACUUCCAGUGCUUACUGGAGUCUAUUCCAAAUAGAUCUCCAUCUAUUGCAAAGCUCCCAUUAAAAAUUCUGGCUAUGGGGGCUGGCCCCGUGGCCGAGUGGUUAAGUUCGCGCGCUCCGCUGCAGGCGGCCCAGUGUUUCGUCGGUUUGAAUACUGGCCGCGGACAUGGCACUGCUCAUCAAGCCACACUGAGGCGGCGUCCCACAUGCCACCACUAGAAGGACCCACAACUAAGAAUGUACAACUAUAUACCGGGGGGCUUUGGGGAG